rnacentral:rRNA from 1 species
CUAGUUGGUGGGGUAAGAGCCUACCAAGGCGACGAUCGGUAGCUGGUCUGAGAGGACGAACAGCCACACUGGGAUUGAGAACGGCCCAGACUCCUACGGGGGGCAGCAGUGAGGAAUUUUCGGCAAUGGAGGCAACUCUGACCGAGCAACGCCGCGUGCAGGAGGACGCUUUUCGGAGUGUAAACUGCUUUUCUGUGGGACGAGGAUGGACGGUACCACAGGAAGAAGCCCCGGCUAACUACGUGCCAGCAGCCGCGGUAAUACGUAGGGGGCGAGCGUUGUCCGGAGUUACUGGGCGUAAAGGGCAUGCAGGCGGUCAGGCGCGUUUUGUGUGACAGCGGAGGGCUUCACUCUCCGAGCAUGCGAAAGACGGUUUGACUUGAGGACUCGAGAGGGACACGGAAUUCCGGGUGGAGUGGUGAAAUGCGUAGAGAUCCGGAGGAACACCGAAGGCGAAGGCAGUGUCCUGGCGAGUGACUGACGCUGAGGUGCGAAAGCCAGGGGAGCGAACGGGAUUAGAUACCCCGGUAGUCCUGGCCGUAAACGAUGACCACCAGGUGUGGGAGGUAUCGACCCCUUCUGUGCCGUAGGUAACCCAUUAAGUGGUCCGCCUGGGGAGUACGGUCGCAAGAUUAAAACUCAAAGGAAUUGACG